UGUUGUUGGCGACUGUUGGGUGCUUGUUUGGAAACUAAUGUUUAUUUUCUUAAUUUAUUAUGACUUUAACUAAUUAUAGUUACAAGACAUCGUGAAAUUAAUCUUGAUAUAUUGUUAAUUGAUUAAUCCCCAGGGUGAGUAACCCAAUAGUCGUCCCUUAGGAGAGCCUUUUGAUACAAAUGAAUACAAAUAUAACCCACCACUAGACUUAUAAGUAGUUAACAUCAACAGUAGUAUAGUCAUGUCCAAGAUGUGGCCCGCAUCACAGUAUUCUCACACAAACAACCCUCAUAGUAAUCAGAAUGUUGCAAAGACAAAUGAGCAUCAGAAUCAGCAAAACUUAAAAACCCUGGGGAUGACAUCGGCUAUAUCCAUGGCAGGCCCAAAACCAAUUGACAUUGAAAAGACAAGUGAGCUAAAAGAGUCCCUGGCACCAUAUGGUGUGUUUGAAUCCGAGAUCGAGAUGCACCACCGCAUGGAAAUCCUGGGACAACUGCACAGGCUUGUCAGACAGUGGAUACGCGACGAAUCACUGAGGAAGAAUAUGCCUCCCAGUGUGGCGGACACCGUCGGAGGAAAUAUAUAUACUUUCGGAUCUUACAGACUUGGGGUACAUCACAGAGGCGCCGACAUAGACGCGCUCUGUGUGGCCCCUCGACACAUUGACAGGACCGACUAUUUCCAGUCGUUCUACGACCUACUCAAAUUGCAACCACAGGUUAAAGACCUACGUGCUGUAGAGGACGCGUUUGUGCCGGUAAUAAAAAUGAAUUUUGACGGAAUCGAGAUUGAUUUGCUGUUUGCGAGAUUGGCACUCAAAGAAAUUCCGGAUUCCUUCGACCUCCGCGAUGACAUGCUUCUGAAGAACUUAGACCAGAAGUGUGUGAGGUCUCUUAAUGGUUGCCGAGUCACCGAUGAGAUACUGCGUCUGGUGCCCAAUAUUGAUAACUUCAGGCUCACGCUCAGAGCUAUCAAGUUGUGGGCGAAACGGCAUGGCAUCUAUUCAAACACGUUGGGCUACCUGGGAGGAGUAUCCUGGGCGAUGCUGGUGGCCCGUACCUGCCAGCUGUACCCGAACGCAUUGCCCGCGACACUCGUGCACAAGUUCUUCCUCGUCUUCAGCCAGUGGAAGUGGCCGCAGCCGGUUUUACUGAAACAGCCGGAUUCAGUUAACUUGGGCUUUCCUGUAUGGGAUCCGAGGGUGAACCUGGCAGAUCGUUUCCAUUUGAUGCCGAUAAUCACUCCAGCGUACCCACAGCAGAACUCAACAUUCAAUGUGUCGGCUUCUACACGGACUGUCAUAAUGGAGGAGUUUAGACUUGGUUUAGCAAUAACAGAUGAGAUAAUGUUGAGCAAGUGCGGCUGGGAGCGGUUGUUCGAGGCACCCAACUUUUUCUCGCGGUAUCGCCACUUCAUCGUGCUGCUGGCCUCGUCGGCCAGCUCGGACGACCAGCUGCAGUGGUGCGGCCUCAUAGAGAGCAAGAUCAGACAUCUUAUUAACACCCUGGAGCGAAACCAGCACAUCACGAUCGCGCACGUAAACCCCGAGUGCUACAGCUCUGUGCCGCUCCACACCAACGGAGGACAACCCCUAGCGCUGCCGCCCGGUGCCGCUCAACCUCCGCCUGCGGAAAAUACAGCAGAAACCAAUAACGACAAUGGUGAAGUAGUACCAAACCACUGUUCCAUGUGGUUCAUUGGACUGGUAUUCGAGAAGACCAACGUGAAUGUGGAUCUCACAUACGACAUAUCUUCAUUCACAAAAGUGGUACACUUCCAGGCUGAACACAACAGUAUGUUACGGGAAGGAAUGACCAUAGAGGCGCGGCAUGUGCGCCGCAAGGAGCUCCACCAGUACCUGUCACCGUCGCUGCUGCGUCGCGAGAGAACCACCUCGGGCACCAAGCGCCGCCUGGCCGACCCUCAGCACCAGCCCAACCACACGCAACCGCCAACGCACAAGAAAACCAAACGGCUAUCCGAGAGCAGUACGGAUGACGUCAGCAUUAUCUCAUACAACGAAGACUCGAACUCGUCUAAUAUGUACGAGGUUAAUCUGCAGAACGGCACAAGCACGAACCACGAGGAGCGUAAUAAGCCCGCAGAGAAGACCGAGCACAGUCCCUCCACUUCGAACACGCAAACCAACAGUAUUGUAUGCACGUAGCAGUACGAACAGUGGCGACAGAGGUUCAUAUACGGAACUGCCAACGUUAAAAUGAACAGAGUGAAACGUAUAUAGUGAUAAGUGACAGAAACUUGUGAUGUUAGUGUUAAGUGAUAGAUAUCGGACAGUUUUGGUACAAUUUGUAUUGUUUAUGGUGAUGCCUGGACCGGACUAUGAUUCCAAUAAGAUGUCGCGCGGCGGAAGCGACACCUGCCGGCGUUCGUUCGACGGGCGAGCACGCCGUCAUGUUUCUCUCAAAAGUUUUUUUUACUAGAGGCCAUUUUCCUGCUCUUUGUAAUCUUGCACUCAGGCGACAUAUUCCCUACGAACUGCGAAGUCUUGAGGAUAUUCUAACGAGGGAUGACUUCAUAAAAAGUUAAUAUAAAUUUUGACUAUUGGUGAAAGAAAAAAGUGUCAACAUGGUUAUGCUCCUCUAAUUGUCUCGCAACAAACACAGAAUGGCCUGACAGGAUACAUUGUUAACUGGGACAAUAAUCACUAAAACGGUCUAAAAAUAUCCUCUUUAUCGAAUUACUUGUUAUUAAGUAAUAAAUAAAAAUAUCGAAAAUGUACCAGUCGAGUGUCUUGCCAGUUCUUCUGAUUUA